AAACAACAAAUCAAAUUUAAUUUCUCGAACACUAUACACAUGUAUAGUAUACAGGUAUAUACAAUUCAUACUUAUAUCUGCAAAUAACUCGAGUGUGCACAU